UACGGAAGGGGCAAGCGUUGUUCGGAAUCAUUGGGCGUAAAGGGCGCGUAGGUGGCUCUGUGUGUCUACCGUGAAAGCGUACGGCUCAACCGUAUUUUGUCGGUAGAAACUGCAGGACUUGAGGCUGGGAGGGGCUGGUGGAAUUCCCUGUGUAGCGGUGAAAUGCGUAGAGAUGGGGGAGAACACUCGUGGCAAAGGCGGCCAGCUAGACCAGUUCUGACACUGAGGCGCGACAGCGUGGGGAGCAAACAGG
rnacentral:rRNA from 1 species